AGAGCGAACGCUGGCGGCAGGCCUAACACAUGCAAGUCGAGCGCCCGUAGCAAUACGGGAGCGGCAGACGGGAUAGUAACACGUGGGAACGCGCCCUUCGGUUCGGAAUAACUCAGGGAAACUUGAGCUAAUACCGAAUACGCCCUUACGGGGAAAGAUUUAUUGCCGAAGGAACGGCCCGCGUCCGAUUAGCUAGUUGGUGAGGUAAUGGCUCACCAAGGCUACGAUCGGUAGCUGGUCUGAGAGGAUGACCAGCAUCACUGGGACUGAGACACGGCCCAGACUCCUACGGGAGGCAGCAGUGGGGAAUAUUGGACAAUGGGCGAAAGCCUGAUCCAGCCAUGCCGCGUGGAUGAUGAAGGCCUUAGGGCUGUAAAGUCCUUUAACGGGAAGAUAAUGACGGUACCCGUAGAAUAAGCCCCGGCUAACUUCGCGCCAGCAGCCGC
rnacentral:rRNA from 1 species